rnacentral:rRNA from 1 species
GACAGAGGUGCCGAGCGUUAGGCGGAAUCACUGGGCUUAAAGCGCGUGUAGGUGGCGGCCUAAGUACCUUGUGAAAUCCUGCGGCUCAACCGCAGAACUGCUUGGUAUACUGGGUCGCUUGAGUCAUCCAGGGCAACUGGAACAAGCGGUGGAGCGGUGAAAUGCGUAGAUAUCGCUUGGAACGCCAAAGGUGAAAACAGGUUGCUGGGGAUGUUCUGACACUGAGACGCGAAAGCCAGGGGAGCGAACGGG